rnacentral:rRNA from 1 species
GUGUCAGCCGCCGCGGUAAUACGUAGGGUCCGAGCGUUGUCCGGAUUUAUUGGGCGUAAAGAGCAUGUAGGUGGAUCUCUAAGUCGAACUUCAAAGCCCGCAGCUUAACUGCGGUUCUGGGUUCGAUACUGUUGAUCUUGAGGAUUGCAGGGGCAAGCGGAAUUCCCGGUGUAGCAGUGAAAUGCGUUGAUAUCGGGAAGAACACCAAUGGCGAAGGCAGCUUGCUAGGUAUUCCUGACACUGAGAUGCGAAAGCGUGGGGAGCGAACGGGAUUAGAUACCCCGGUAGUCCACGCCGUAAACGAUGCAGACUAGCUAUCAGAAGUAUCGACCCUUCUUGUAGCGAAGCUAACGCGUUAAGUCUGCCGCCUGGGAAGUACGGUCGCAAGACUAAA